rnacentral:rRNA from 1 species
GACGAACGCUGGCGGCGUGCCUAAUACAUGCAAGUCGAACGAGAGCGACCGGUGCUUGCACUGGUCAAUCUAGUGGCGAACGGGUGAGUAACACGUGGGUAACCUGCCCAUCAGAGGGGGAUAACAUUCGGAAACGGAUGCUAAAACCGCAUAGGUCUUCGAACCGCAUGGUUUGAAGAGGAAAAGAGGCGCAAGCUUCUGCUGAUGGAUGGACCCGCGGUGCAUUAGCUAGUUGGUGAGGUAACGGCUCACCAAGGCCGUGAUGCAUAGCCGACCUGAGAGGGUGAUCGGCCACAUUGGGACUGAGACACGGCCCAAACUCCUACGGGAGGCAGCAGUAGGGAAUCUUCCGCAAUGGACGCAAGUCUGACGGAGCAACGCCGCGUGAGUGGAGAAGGUUUUCGGAUCGUAAAACUCUGUUGUUAGAGAAGAACAAGUGCUAGAGUAACUGUUAGCGCCUUGACGGUAUCUAACCAGAAAGCCACGGCUAACUACGUG